GUCGAGGUGCUGGGGAAGAGUGGAGGUGUGCCGUGGCGGAAUUUGCGGAGGGGUCUGUGGGGACGCGUGGGGUGACACGCACUCUAGUAUGGUGUGCGAGAACCUGGGCUGUGGAAGGCAUAUCCAGAUUAAGGCAAGCGCAGAGAACAUGCCGUCGCACCGCGUGACCAUCAACAGCAUGCACUGCCCGGCAAGCGUGUCUGACCUGAGCCGCUGCAUGUUUGUACUGAACAACAGCUCACAUUGUCAGGAGAGGCCGGCCCACGUCAUCUGCUCAGGUGCGCACGCCGAAUCAUCCGCACGGUUGCCGUCGCUGUCAAAAAUCUAUUUAUGUAUGUGUAUUUAUUUGUUUUUUUUUAUUCAGCUGAUUACUUAGUCCAUUUUUUUAUUUUUUUUUAUUUGCAGAUAGCCUCGAGUCCAGGCUGAGAGAGCCUCGGGACAAGUGUGCAGGUGAAGUUGACGUAAAACUGUCGGGGAAAUGGCUUCCUGUUUGUGGUGACUUAGAUGAGAACCUUCAAAAAACAGUCUGCGCCGAAAUGGGCUGUGGAACAGCACUAACGACAGAACAAACUUCUAGCACAACUCGUGAGGGACUGACUGUCAAAUGUGGUACGAAUUUGAAGUCCAUAGCGAAAUGCGAAGUACAGCGCAGUACAGAUUCCCAGCGCAUCUACAGAGUCAAAUGCUCAGACUGGAGACGGCUGCUGGUGCUCGGGCAGAAGAGAGCGUGUGAGGGGCCCGUGUUUGUUAAUACACCCGACAGGCUCCUUCCCAUCAGCUCAACUGGGUGGGGGGAUCGAGAGUCGAAGCUUCUCUGCAGCAACGUGGGCUGCGGGGAGCUAGAGGCUCACAGACAUAAGUCCACCCAUUUCGAAAAAUGGUGGAACAAGACCUUCAGCUGCCGUGACGGAGCCCACAGCAUUUGGGACUGCAUCAAAGAAAAAGAUCCACCUGUUAAUAAACAGCAGCAGCUGGACAUUAAGUGUGAGGGUAGGAUAAACUAUGAAUCUUC
rnacentral:lncRNA from 1 species